UCGACAAAAGAUUAUUCCUUGUUAACUUUCAUUAUAAAUUAAAACCUCAAAACAUUCAUUUAUACACUGAAUAACUUGUCCCCUAAAUUUUAUACGACCGACAUGACAUAUUUUAAUGUAAAUCGAUAUUAAAUUAUUAAAGUAUUCACAACAAGUAAUGUUAUUCGACAAUACAGUAUUAGUGGUUGGGAUAGAUUUCGGGACUUCUGGAUCAGGAUAUGCAUUUUCA
rnacentral:lncRNA from 1 species